UACGAAGGGGGCUAGCGUUGCUCGGAAUCACUGGGCGUAAAGGGUGCGUAGGCGGGUCUUUUAAGUCAGGGGUGAAAUCCUGGAGCUCAACUCCAGAACUGCCUUUGAUACUGAAGAUCUUGAGUUCGGGAGAGGUGAGUGGAACUGCGAGUGUAGAGGUGAAAUUCGUAGAUAUUCGCAAGAACACCAGUGGCGAAGGCGGCUCACUGGUCCGGAACUGACGCUGAGGUGCGAAAGCGUGGGGAGCAAACAGG
rnacentral:rRNA from 1 species